AUGGACGCCGAAAACGUGCAAAGACAGAUAAACGAAACCGUGCGUUUUGCAAAUAAUGAAAUGCUCAGCAAUAUAUCAGAACUUUUAGAUAAUAGACUGGCAGACAUGCAACGCAACAUAAGUGAAAACCAGAAAGCUAUUGCUGAAAAACAAGAAGCGCGCAUGGAAAUAGUUAUUUCAGAAGGAUAUAAAUUCAAAAAACGUGGAAAUGAAGAACAACACAAGCAUAACGUCAAAGUCUUUGCAAAAAUGCAAGAAGCAAAUGAAAACCUGAAGGAGAAUAAAGUUCAAAGUGCCCAAAGGAAUAUUGCAGAAGGUUUGGACAUUAUAAAGAAUAGACAAAAGUUAAUUAAGUUAGCAGAUUCCUCUGAGGCCGGAUGGAGGGCGGUGGACGAAUACACAAAAAAUCCAAUUGCUUCGGAUUCCGAGGACGAAAAGAAAAUAAGCAAAGCACAGACAAGGGCUGAAAGAAAAGUCAAAGAGGCUAAAGCGAAGAAAAGGAAGGACUUCCGAGAUUCAGCAAGGCCGUACCAGAAGCCUUCGUGGUCGCAGACAUCAGCUGACAAUACAACUUGGAAGUCGGGGCAUUGUUAUCGAUGUAACAAGAGGGGCCACUGGAGGAAGGAUUGUACGGAGAAACUAAAUGGAGACAAGAUAAGUACAAUUGUUACUGAAGGAAAAUUUAGGUCACUGGCGUUCGAUUGGAACAAACAGGUAUGUGUUAGACGUGAUAGAAAACGGAUAUAA
rnacentral:sRNA from 1 species